CGACUGAUUACGUAGCGGGCGGGGCCGGAAGUGCCGCUCCCUAGUGGGGGCUGUUCAUGGCGGUUCCGGGGUCUCCAGCCUUUUUCCCAGUUGUUCUAAAUCAGUCGGAAGCGGAGGCAGCGAAGUUUGAGGUUCUCGCUGGUGUGAAAUGACUGAGUACAAACUGGUGGUGGUUGGAGCAGGUGGUGUUGGGAAAAGCGCACUGACAAUCCAGCUAAUCCAGAACCACUUUGUAGAUGAAUAUGAUCCCACCAUAGAGGUGAGGCCCAGUGGCAGUGUGCUCACCCUACCUCUGGCUUUUGGCUCACCCUUACCCAUAUCCUUUAGCUUGCUGUUUAGCUAAAGGAAUAAUCAGGAGACAGAAGUAAAAGUUAUUUUGGGUACUGCGUUCAGCAAUACAGUAAAGCUUUCCAUGUUUGUGGAGAAGAGUUCAUUUUUAUUAGCUGUUAGAGUUUUUCUAAAAACUUGACAAUUUAGCGGUUUAAUAAACUGUUGCAUAUUCGUUGAACUCCUAUAUGACAGCUCUAUUAAAAAGAAACCAGCGGUGGGAAGAGUGACUAAUAGGAUGGAGAUAAAGGAUUCAGAGAUCUAGAUAGUCUGCAAUUUUCAUUAAAAGUUGAAGCAGCUGAGACUGGGCUGGAGUAAGAAAGAACAUGAGAUUUUGAGUCACUACCUAGAUUUUUUUCGGUCCCUGUUGGCAGUUUAUUUAGUUAUGUUAUAUUGAACAAAACACUUAAACUCUCUGAGCCUCAUUUUCUUCGUCUAUUAAAUUAUUAUAAACAUGUCCUGCCUAUCACACACAGGGAUGUUGAGAAAAAUCAUUAUGUUUAAAUUUUUUGUGAGUCCACGUUCUAGAUUGGCUUGAAUAAAUGGCAUCUAAAGUCCUUUAAAAAAGGUUGUGUAAUUUUAUUCAAUUUAGAAAUGUCUGACUAGAGAUUUUUUAUUUUAAUCCACAUCCUGGUCUUCCUACCCUCCCCCCACCAGCUGGUGAGUGUUUAAUGGAAGCUAACAUAGCCAUUAUUAAAAAUUAGUAAGUCCUCGGCAAAAUUUUAUUUAAGCUAAACAGCUUUAGUGUUAAUAGUUAGAACCUUUUAAUAUUUUUCUGAGUUUUAGUUAUUGAAGGGUAACAUACAUACAGUAAAAUUCACAAGUAUAUCUACAGCCUAGUGACUUAAAAUUUGUGUUUUAAAUACUUCCAUAAUCACCACUCAGAAAUAUAGACCGUUUCCAAUACUCCAGAGAGUUCUCCCAUGUCCCUUUCCAGUCAGUAAACCCCCACACUGCCAGGAAAUAACCACUUCUCUUUGACUUCUAUUAACCUAAGUUAGUUUGACUCAAACCUACCUUAUAAUUUUAAUUUUGCUCAUUUCCUCGAAUACUCGUACACUUAACCAUAUUUCAUACUUCAGGCAAGUUUUGGCAAUGUGAAGUCUAUGUUAAUUUGAAAGUAUAUUAUAGUCCCACAAUGAAGUUGAGAGGCACGGAUCAAUGAACUGGGAAACCAGCUCACAUUUGUUUCUGGAGCUAGAUCUUUACCAGGUGUGAUGGGUUGUUUUCUUUGAACUGAAUUCCCAAAAUGUAAGUAUCAAAAUACAAGUAAAAUUUUUGCCUUAGAGGCAAAUUGAAACCAUGUAUAUAUUCUAUGCAUGUUUGUCUUUCUAAGGAAUUAUAACUAUAUACAGUAAAACCUUGGUUUGCGAGGUUAAUUCGUUCCAGAAACAUGCUUGUGAUCCAAAGCACUUGUGUAUCAAAACGAAUUUCAAGAACCAUUAACCAAGUUGUGAUCGUGUGACAUUCGGCAUCACAUAUUGCAAGACGUUGCUAGUUAAUAAAGUUAAAAUUUAGUAUAAAUGUUUGCUCGUCUUGCAGAACACUCACAGAACAAGUUACUUGCAAUCCAGGGUUUUACUGCACCUUGUUUGGAACCUUUAGGAAUUUGAUUCCGGAAUAUUUUCCAAAGGUAAAAAUCCACUAUGAUGAGAAAAAUAUUUUGGUGUUAUAAUUUUGUCUGAAAUGCAAAGUAUUUGUGUGUUUAGUUAUAAACACAAAUGAUACUGUGUCCAAGGCCUGGUAUAACUGGUGGAAGUAUGUUUAGAAUUUAAAUGUACAAUAAACAAAAGUCCAGUUUAUACCUUGGUAAAAUAACACCUUGAAUGCUAAUCUCUAGUCUAACUGCUGUAUAGCUGUCUUUUGAAUUACCAAACUUUUUUUAUCUUUUCCAAGAACAGAGUGACCACAUUUUCCUUUCUGUAGGCUUUUUUCUUAGGGUGACAUUAAGUACGUUCUGUUUGUGAUUAUAUAUUAAGAGUUUGAGGGACAGAGAGAUGGAAAUAAACUUAGGAAGGAGCUUAUCUAACUUUGGCAAUAGCGUUGCGUACCCUGUGGUUUCUAAUAAAAAUGAAAUCUUCCUCUCUCCCUGCCGUCUCCCACCCUUCGCACCCCAGGAUUCUUACCGAAAACAGGUGGUUAUAGAUGGUGAAACCUGUCUGUUGGACAUACUGGAUACAGCUGGUCAAGAAGAGUACAGUGCCAUGAGAGACCAAUACAUGAGGACAGGCGAAGGCUUCCUCUGUGUAUUUGCCAUCAACAAUAGCAAAUCAUUUGCAGAUAUUAACCUUUACAGGGAACAGAUUAAGCGAGUAAAAGACUCCGAUGAUGUACCUAUGGUGCUAGUAGGAAACAAGUGUGAUUUGCCAACAAGGACCGUCGACACAAAACAAGCCCACGAACUGGCCAAGAGUUAUGGGAUUCCAUUCAUUGAAACCUCAGCCAAGACCAGACAGGGUGUUGAAGAUGCCUUUUACACACUGGUAAGAGAAAUACGUCAGUACCGAAUGAAGAAACUCAACAGCAGUGAUGAUGGGACUCAAGGUUGUAUGGGGUUACCGUGUGUGGUGAUGUAACAAGGUGAGCAUGCGGUCUCUUGGCGUCAUAACCAUAAAUUUUAUUAUUUAGCAUCAGGCAGUUUGGAGGAGAUUGCUGUUAUUUUUUCUGUAUUGCUAUUUGAGAGUUUCUACUUGCUCACAGCUAUAAAAUAUUUUCCUUAUGGCACCCUUUCUGAGAGUACUUUUAAAGCAUUUAAGUAUUUUAUAGACAUCAUUACACUUUCAAUAACAGUAGAAACCAGAAGACAUUAUUAUGAAAUGUAUGCCUACCAUACCAUAUCCUUGCACUGAUUAGGAAUUGGAAGAAUCACUACAUCAAAACUAGAUUAUAAUGACAUGGUGUGUGUUCUUUUCUUAUAGAUACUUUUAAAGUUCUAGCAUCAGAAAAGAGCCACUGUCAAGCUGCACUGACACCCUGGUCCUGACUUCCCUGGAGGAGAAGUGUUCCUGUUGCUAUCUUCAGUUUCACAAAGAAGCUCCUGCUAUUUCCCCAACUCUCCGUAGAUCAGUACAUUAUUCUCUGUUUGAGAAGUUCUCCGAAUAACUACCUCCUCACUUGGUUGUCUGACCAGAGAAAUGAACCUCUUGUUACUCCCCACUGUUUUUCCACCCUGGUUCUCUCCCAGCACAUAUAAACAAACCUCCCAGGUUUUUCAUCUGAAAAGUAAUUCAUGCUCUGAAACAGAGAACCAAACUGUAGACAUGAAAUUCUGUAGGAAACAAUGUCUUGAGCUCUAAAGUAGCAACUGCUGGUGACUUUUUUUUUUUUUUUUUUUCCUUUUUACUGUUGAACUUGGAACUAUGUUGGUUUUUGGAGAAAUGUCGUAAGUUACUGUUUUGCUGAGUAUAUAGUUAAGUUUACCAUUCGGUUUGUUUGUAAUGUUAUUGGCUAUACUCUAUACCUGGCAUCUGCUCUGCAUUCAUAAAUACAAAAGUGAAUUCUGACUUUUGAGUCUAUCCUAGUGUUCUCAACUUCCACAUAAUUAAAUCUAACUUUUGCAGCAAAGUGCCUUUUUCCUAGAAGUGGUUUGUAGAUUUGCUUUAUAAUACUUUGGUGGAAUAGAUGUCUCAAAAACCAUUAUACAUGAAAAUGAAUGUCUGAGAUACGUCUAUGAUCUGUCUACCUUUGAAGGAAAGAUAUACCGACAUAAUAGCAGAUGCCGUGUCUUACGUGUAUGAAGUUGGAUUUCUAGAGACCUGAUUUGGGUCUCUUCCAAGAGAAAGAUGAAACUGGAAACAAUUAUGAAUAACUUCACUUAAUUUUUACCUAAUCUCUACUUCGGGGUGGGGGGGCAGGGAGUAGGUUACCACUUACAAAAUAUAUGCAAUUUGUUUCUUCUAGCUUACUGAUAAUGAACUUCCAUUCAUAUUUAAAUUUAGGUCAUAUCCUAAAGCUUUACAUUUGCAGGUGUUCGAAAUUGUAAGUUUAAUGCAGUUUUAUUUAAUAGCUAUGAUCAAUGAUUUUCAAGCCUCAGAUGUAUUAACGGACACAUUUUCACUACGUAUUAUGAUAUUUUAAGGAUGUAUAUUAUAAUUGCCCUCAUUCCCCUUCUCAUCCCACCGCAAUGGCGGCUUGGUUAUUUCAGUUGAGUACAGCAAGGUGCUAAUAGACCAGGGUCACAGUUUCAAAACUUGAGCAAGCCGGUUAGCAUUGCAGAGAGAGAAAUUCUUCCACAUUUGCUCAUUGCACCAGUAAACUCCAGCUAGUAGUUUGGCCAGAUGCACACUGUUAGUCCUGCAAGGAAAGAAGAGGUCAGUUAGCACAGAUCCUUUACCAUGACUGGAAAAACCUGCUGUCUUGAGGAGGGUCAGCUUAGAAAUUUUUAUAAAUAAAAUCUGUAGACCAUUUUUAGCCAUGUGGAAACUCUGAAUUAAACCAAUAUUUUUUCUCAUUAUUUUGAGAAUGAGGAUGCCUCAGAUCAAAAUUUUCAAAAUUUUCUUUCUCCAUGAUGUCCUUUGAAGGGUUUAAAACCAGAUGUUGAUGAAUUCGUCUGUGUAUACCAGAUAAUAAGCUGAUGGAGUUUGCUCAGAAGAGAAGUAGCCUUUCUAUAGAAAUUGCUGUUUGAGAAGGGAGUGGGAAGUAGAACUAAUUGUUAGUUAUGAGAGUUUGGAGGUACGGCGUUUGCAUUUGCAGAUAAUUUCCUGGUAAUUCCAAUGAAAAGGAGACUUGGAUAACUUUUGAUGAGUAAUUAGUUCCCAGAUGGCCGCUUCCUGUUCUGGUCUCUUCUGGUGUGUACUUACUGAGGUCCUCUAUCUUCUCAAACGAGCUUUCAUUUAAGGAGACUCCACACUGUCUCUAAAUGGAUUCAGAAGAGGGCAAGAACCUUCACUGUGCCCAGAGCGAACAAGCCCAGAGAGUUGUGUUCCUUAGUGUUAACUUUGAGAGCUUUCACAUACUGUCAACAGCUGUAAAUAGAAACUCCUGCUGCUGGGUUUCUGCUCCUUUUGGAACAUUGCUGUGUGACUUUCUUGAGGCUACAUGGAGUCUUGUCACCUCAGCUGUCAUUGUCUUCACCUCUUCCUCCUCUUCUCAUCUGUGUGACUGACAGUAUGACCCUUUUUGUAAUAUCAAAUUUAGGGAAAAAGAUACUCAUUUUUGCCCUUAUAUGUAUGUACCUUACAGUUUUUUCAAGUGUGUCCUAAGCACAGAAUUAUCUAAAUGGGGCCAAAAUUCAGACUUGAAAAUGUUCUUUUAAUAGCUUGUUAAGAAGUUACACAUAGGUGUGAAUUUUGGCACGAUAGAGUGACAGACUUACAGUUAAAUGCUGAGUAACUUCAGUUGGUGUGAAGUAAAGUGUGGUUGUUUAGAAUUUGUUUGUAAUUGCUGAAAACAGUUCUAGUUUACCUCAGAAUCUGAAAAGUCUCUUCCCCCAAGUUAAGUGCCUGGCCAGCUGUCAUGAAUUACAUACUACUUUAUGUGUGUUUGUGUUUUAAGGGUUGCACACCCAAGAGUGUGAAAAUAAGAUGUUCUGUGUAAAGGCCACCAUGCCUAGUCUGUAAAUGAAACUGUUAAGUGCUGUAUUUGCUCCAGCAGCUUACUCUAGAAUGUUACUUGGUAAUAUAAUAUCAUACUUCAUACAGUUUUCACUUUAGUGUAAUAGGUAAAGUUAUUCUCAGUAUGUCUUUUAGCAGGCCCAUGUUUAGUCUUUCAUCAUCCCUUAAACUGCUGUGAAUUUUUUGUCUGACUUGAAAGCAAGGAUGGAGAAACACUUUGAAGAGAUAUUUUCGUCUUUUCCCAUUCCAGAAUUUGUGAGCAUGGUCAUAUUUUGCUUUUACAUUUACAGUCAUGAACUCUCAAGCUGGCAGCUACAACCAAGAACCAAAAAAAUGGUGCAUUCUGCUUCUUGUAAUUCAUCUCUGCUAAUAAAUUAUAAGAAGCAAGGAGAAUUAAUUAGGGAAAAUAUUUUAUUUAGGUGGUUUCUGUAAGCAAGAGACUAUAAUUCUUGUACAUUAUUUUUCAUCUUCGCUGUUUCUUUAAGCAGUGUAAUGUGCCACAAAAUUAUUUUUAAGGUGUUUCCUGUUAGGAAUUGUUUUAAACGUGUUCUCAUUAUCAGAAUAGUUGUAGAUAUGUUUCAGAAUACAACUGGUGAUUUUUAAAGGCCUGAGUACUGACCUAAGAAGCAACUGGAUGAAUUCUACUCUGGAGGGAAGGGAGGAUCGCAGUGAAAGUUGUAUGACUUUUAUAUUUCUGUGCCAUCAGAUAUAGGUAAAAAUACCAAUUGUGCAAUUCUGUUGUUUAAACAGAACUAUUGGCCUCUUUGGCCCUAAAUUAAGGGGCUGAUAUUUUAAGUUGACUAUUUUAUUGUAAAUUAAUCCAUCCUAAUUUUUAAAAAUUUGGUUGAAUGUUUUUCUUGUUAAAUGUUUAAAAAAUAAAAACUGGAAGUUC